ensembl:rRNA 5S_rRNA 5S ribosomal RNA
GUCGACAGCCAUGCCACCCUGAACAUGCCUGAUCUCUUCUGAUCUCGGAAGCUAAGCAGGGUCGGGCCUGGUUAGUUCUUGGAUGGGAGGCCACCACCUAAGAAGACCAGACGCUGUAGGUG